rnacentral:rRNA from 1 species
GACGAACGCUGGCGGCGUGCUUAACACAUGCAAGUCGAACGGAAAGGCCCCUUCGGGGGUACUCGAGUGGCGAACAGGUGAGUAACACGUGAGUAACCUGCCCUUGACUUCGGGAUAACUUCAGGAAACUGGGGCUAAUACCGGAUAGGAAUCCUUGCUGCAUGGUGGGGGUUGGAAAGCUUCGGCGGUUUUGGAUGGACUCGCGGCUUAUCAGCUUGUUGGUGGGGUAGUGGCUUACCAAGGCUUUGACGGGUAGCCGGCCUGAGAGGGCGACCGGCCACAUUGGGACUGAGAUACGGCCCAGACUCCUACGGGAGGCAGCAGUGGGGAAUAUUGCACAAUGGGCGGAAGCCUGAUGCAGCAACGCCGCGUGCGGGAUGACGGCCUUCGGGUUGUAAACCGCUUUCAGCAGGGGCGAAGCUUGUGGUGACGGUACCUGCAGAGGAAGCACCGGCUAACUACGUG